AUUCCAUUGAGUAUUGUAUUUUUUCGACAUUUGACCUUGUCUGCUAGCUAAUGUAAACAAAGCAAGCGAAGGGGCCUAUUGUAUUUCAUGAUUCGCCCGUUUCUAGGCUAUGAUAUGUCUUUACCAUACUCUUUAUCCUAAAGACCUAACGGAUUUGAUUUCUAAAUCAUAAACAUCUAUUCUUUAUAAAGUUAUAGUAAAUUUUUCAUUAAAUGUGAAAACAUUUUGAAACACUUGUUCUUUGUAUUUAAUAUUCAAUUUAUUUGAGGUGCCGAACUUGCCAGCUUGCAGAAACAUGCAAAUAAAACAAGGAAUUUUAUUAUAUAUAUAAAUUAUAAAAUGAUAUUAUAUAUGGUUAUGGGUGUGACAUUGAUUCAUGAGCCAUGCAUCAUUUUGGCAAAUUACGACAUAUCAAUGUAAGUAUAAUCCCUGGAAAUUAUCUGGAUUGACCCAUUGGCAUUGCCUUCGCCAUGCUUUGUUUACAUUUGGCAAUGAAAUGGUUUCAUCUGCUAUAAAGAACUGAACAAGAUUUUCAAAAUGACAAGACAAGUUUGUUCUAUUUAAGGAAGUGAUUUUUACAGUAUGAUUCAAGAAUAAAAAUCUAAAUUUAAAACAAUGUGGCCCAGGACCAUAAAUACAUUUUAUUCUUUCUUUGUUUAUGCAUUUUGCAGGCAAAAGUAGAAUCGCCACUUUAUUCAAAGAUCAAUUUUCUCUUGCAUACCUAUCAGUAACAAUAGAACAAGUUCAGUUUGCCUUGGGAGUUUCUCUUUUAGUAUUAAAUCACAUAAAAACCGUAUUUAAUCACCUUC